rnacentral:rRNA from 1 species
GAGGUGAUCCAGCCCCACUGGAACUGAGACACGGUCCAGACUCCUACGGGAGGCAGCAGUGGGGAAUAUUGCACAAUGGGCGCAAGCCUGAUGCAGCCAUGCCGCGUGUGUGAAGAAGGCCUUCGGGUUGUAAAGCACUUUCAGCGAGGAGGAAGGGUUCAGUGUUAAUAGCACUGUUCAUGACGU